GAGAAGCGUCUUCCAUCUCCAUAAAAUCUAUUGAAUCAACCCAAAAGAACAAAGUGUCUGUGAUCAAUCCCAACAAUUAAAGUGGAUCCAAUACUUCAACUAGAGCUUUCUCAUUAUGGAUUAUUUUUUAUUUAAUUAUUUGCUUUCCAUUAUUUUUCUCAUUAUUAGUUUACUGUAAUCAAUCUCAAACCCCCCUAUUUUUUGUUGACAGUUUUG
rnacentral:lncRNA from 1 species